rnacentral:rRNA from 1 species
CGGAGGAUCCAAGCGUUAUUCGGAGUGACUGGGCGUAAAGAGUUGCGUAGGGGGUUUGUUAAGCAAAUAGUGAAAUCUUGUGGCUCAACCAUAAGGCUAUUAUUUGAACUGACAAACUUGAGAAUAUGAGAGGUAGAUGGAAUUCCCAGUGUAGGAGUGAAAUCCGUAGAUAUUGGGAGGAACACCAAUGGCGUAGGCAGUCUACUGGCAUAUUUCUGACCCUGAGGCACGAAAGCGUGGGGAGCGAACCGGAUUAGAUACCCGGGUAGUCCACGCCGUAAGCUAUGGAUGCUAGCUGUAUGCCGUAUCGACCCGGUAUGUAGCGAAGCUAACGCGUUAAGCAUCCCGCCUGGGGAGUACGGUCGCAAGAUUA